CCUCUUGCAAGACUUAAUGAAUAAGAGGUCCCGCCUGCCCUGUGACUAUAUGUUUAACGGCCGCGGUAUUUUAACCGUGCGAAGGUAGCGCAAUCACUUGUCUUUUAAAUGGAGACCUGUAUGAAUGGCAUCACGAGGACUUAGCUGUCUCCCCCUUCCAGUCAAUGAAAUUGAUCUCCCCGUGCAGAAGCGGGGAUAAGCACAUAAGACGAGAAGACCCUAUGGAGCUUAAGACGCCAGGGCAGCUCACGUUAAACGCCCCUAAUAAAGGAAUAAAACCUAGUGAAUCCUGCUCUAAUGUCUUUGGUUGGGGCGACCACGGGGAAUCAUAAAACCCCCACGUGGAAUGGGAGCACCACACUCCUAAACCCAAGAGCUUCCGCUCUAAUGAACAGAACUUCUGGCCAUAUUAGAUCCGGUAAAACCGAUCAACGAACCGAGUUACCCUAGGGAUAACAGCGCAAUCCUCUUAAAGAGUUCUUAUCGACAAGGGGGUUUACGACCUCGAUGUUGGAUCAGGACAUCCUAAUGGUGCAGCCGCUAUUAAGGGUUCGUUUGUUCAACGAUUAAAGUCCU
rnacentral:rRNA from 1 species